UCCUUUUCUCAACUCUUUUACUUCUUUUUUAUUAUUAUAUGUUUAAUUAAAAAAGCUCUUUGUCAUAAUGCAGUAACAAAACUUUCAGAUUACCUGUAGUUUUCUUACUCCUUUUCUCAACUCUAUUACUUCUUUUUUAUUAUUAUAUGUUUAAUUAAAAAAGCUCUAUUAGUUAUAUUAUUUUUUAAAUUAACUUGUUGAGAUUUGUAUUAAUAGUUUUAUUGAUUUCUGUAUCUUCUGAUUAAUUAGGGAAGACUUAUUUAAUCUCAGAAUAUCCUCUAAUUAAUCAGGGAAAUGCUUAUUUAAUUCUGGGGAAACAUUUCACACUGCUGAAAUAGUUUCUGAAAUAAUUUCUUAGGACAGUGCCUAGCACGACUCAAGUAUAAUUAAUAUAUUACUUAAACUCAUAUCAUUAUAAUAUUUAUUUAAUAUUCAGUAUUAUUAAUUUGUCGUUAAGAAGUAAUUAUAUUACUGUUCUAGUUAUUAUAUUGAUUAUAAUAUUAUUAUUGAAGUUAUAUCAUUAUACAUUAUUAUUGUACUACUAAAUAUUAUUAUUGUUAUAUUAAUAUUUUUUUAAUAAUUAAAUAAUAUUGUUAUUAGUGUUUUACCAUUGUUCCCCAACAAUAAUUCUAUUACACCUAUUACAUUUUUCCUUCAAUCCUACUAUUAUUCAAUUAUUAUAUUCCUUUUGAAUUUACGGCAAUUUGACUUCUUCUAAAAAAGAAUAUUAAAUUAAUUAACGUAGAACAAUUACAAUUAACCUCUUUUUCUUCUUUUUUCUUUCUUAUGUGCAUUUUUAUUUUACUAAAAAAUCAUCAAAUUGAAUAAUAAUUAAAGGAAAAAGGUAAAAAGAUUAUUAUCUAUUUAAUGAAGGAUGGAUAAAACGUUUAAAUCACUUUUCUAAUACCUUUAUAUUUCUAAUAUAUUAUAUAGAUAUAUAUAAAUUAUAGAUUAUAGAUAAUUUGAAAUGAUAAUAGAUAUCAUAUGUAAUAUCUUUCAUUAAGUCUGCACAAAUCUCUAGAAAUAGCUGUAAAUUAGGUCAGCAUAUAGUGAAUUCAGCAAAUAAUAAAUAUUUUAUUUACAAUUAAUUAUAAUCGUCUUGCAUCUAUACCUUAGAAGAAUCAUCCAAUACAAAUACGACGUAAGGUUGUGCAUAAUGGACUUUUAUAAUUCGGUCUUUCUAAAAAAUUCACGUAUAGCAAAUACAAGGUAAGGUUGUGCAUAACAGACUUUUAUAAUUCAGUCUUUCUAAAAAAUCACGUAUAGCGAAAGUUUCAAUGCACCGGAUAUACUAGCAAGAGGACAGUGAUUUGUUCUUAUAAUUCAGUCUUUCUAAAAAAUCACGUAUAGCGAAAGUUCCAAUGCACCGGAUAUACUAGCAAGAGGACAGUGAUUUGUUCAGUGAAACUCGAUGACAAUGUUAUUUUCAGGCAAAUAGACAGCAAAACUGGCACAUACACAGACAUUUGCAGACUCUUGUGAGCUAUCUGCAAUUGGACAAAUCAACUUCGAAAGAGAAGUAUAUUUUUGUCUGUGGGUCUUUGAAACAAUUUAACUUAUCCCAAGACACAUAUUAGGAACCAGGCUCCUGAACAGUAAAGUAAAAAUUGAAGAGAAUAACAUGCAGAUUUUAUUAUGGAAAAUCCUUGCCCAAGGGAGUAAAAGAGUACGACCUAUAGUCUGAAGGAUUUCCACGACCAAUCUCCAGUAACUUCAACAAGUAAUGUUUCAUUUCAAACUACAACUCCGCAAUCGAAGGGACUAACUCUAGUACCUCAACUCAAUAAUUAACCUUGACGUUCUAACAACUCUCCAAGCUCUCCAUCAAGUCAAAGCUGCUUUGCUUCUUGUUACCACACGCCACAAACAAGAAGUCAAACCCACUUCUUGAUACUCAACCACACUAAGUCACAAAAUCUUCAACUCUAACAAUGAAUAGAAGCUAUUAAAAAUCCGUAAACAACUCCAACUACAAAGGUAUGAAACUAGAAACUACUACCAUGUAAUAGCUUGAGUAUGUCGAUGUCCCCAUUUCUUCGCCUUGUUCCAUUUUGCCUUGAGCUUGCUCGGAUCUGUGUGUUUGCAAAAGGUGCGGGUGAAUGAAUUCUUUUGACUAAUAGUUCAGUCCUGCUUCUUCUCAAUACAAUAUUGCCUUCCCAUUUAAAGGCAUUACUUUCCUGCGCAGGUCACACAACAUAAGUAAAGUGACCGAACACACAUCAACGCAUUGGCGGACUUCUUGGCGGACCACCCGAUACCCGAUGAUUGGGAAUUGACCGAUGAACACAAAGCUUGUUUAAGCGUCAAUAGAGACAUGAACUCAAACAUCAAUAAAGGCAUGAAUCAAAACAUCAAUAGAUACUUGUUUACCGUCUUUUUGGUACAGUUGAUUUUGUUCGUGAGUUAAGAGUACGCGUUACGAUCUAAACUUUCGAUUAGUAGUGAAUAUAUGAGAAAAUGUAAAUAACUUGAGAUGAAUACCAAACAAAUCAAAGAAAAAAGGGAGAGGAGCAAAUCUUAAGGGAAAAUGAAAAGUGCUUAGGAACCAAACUAAAGAUAUUUUAUUGUUUAUAAGAUAAGGAUAAGCAAAAAACAAAUCCUUUACAAUGCGGGAGAGAGCACCUAUAGUAUGGGAUUUAUAUAGUUUUGAUGAUCAACUUGUGAGAACCAAGUUUUUGUGUCUGUGAACCAGGUUCUUAUUGAUGGGGGAGACAGUACCUAUAGUAAUAGUACUCUCAUGAUAUUACAUUACAAUAUGGUAGUAAGUUUCUAGUUUCAUACCUUUGUAAUAGGAGUUGUUGUAACUUGUAAUAACAUCUAUUCAUCGUUAGAGAUGAAGAUUUUGUGACUUAUUAGAGUGGUUGAGUAUCAAGAAAUGGGUUCGACUACUUGUUUGUAACGUAUCGUAACAAGAUUUGUUUAUAUCUUG
rnacentral:lncRNA from 1 species